GUGGGGAAUCUUGCGCAAUGCGCGAAAGCGUGACGCAGCAACGCCGCGUGGGGGAAGACGGCCUUCGGGUUGUAAACCCCUUUCAGGAGGGACGAAGGCAGAGCGGUUAAUAGCCGACUCGGUUGACGGUACCUCCAUAAGAAGCCCCGGCUAACUACGUGCCAGCAGCCGCGGUAAUACGUAGGGGGCAAGCGUUGUCCGGAAUCAUUGGGCGUAAAGAGCGUGUAGGCGGUCCGAUUAGUCGGCUGUGAAAGUCCAGGGCUCAACCCUGGGAUGCCGGUCGAUACUGUCGGACUAGAGUCCGGAAGAGGCAAGUGGAAUUCCCGGUGUAGCGGUGAAAUGCGCAGAUAUCGGGAGGAACACCAAUGGCGAAGGCAGCUUGCUGGGACGGUACUGACGCUGAGACGCGAAAGCGUGGGGAGCAAACAGGAUUAGAUACCCUUGUAGUCC
rnacentral:rRNA from 1 species